UACGUAGGGUGCAAGCGUUGUCCGGAAUUAUUGGGCGUAAAGAGCUCGUAGGCGGUUUGUCGCGUCGGAUGUGAAAAUCCAGGGCUCAACCCUGGACCUGCAUUCGAUACGGGCAGACUAGAGUUCGGUAGGGGAGACUGGAAUUCCUGGUGUAGCGGUGAAAUGCGCAGAUAUCAGGAGGAACACCGGUGGCGAAGGCGGGUCUCUGGGCCGAUACUGACGCUGAGGAGCGAAAGCGUGGGGAGCGAACAGG
rnacentral:rRNA from 1 species